rnacentral:rRNA from 1 species
CUGCUGCCUCCCGUAGGAGUUUGGACCGUGUCUCAGUUCCAAUGUGGGGGACCUUCCUCUCAGAACCCCUACUGAUCGUCGCCCCGGUGGGCCGUUACCCCGCCGGCAAGCUAAUCAGACGCAUCCCCAUCCUUUACCGGCCGAAGCCUUUGGUCAUGAAAAUAUGCAUCAACAUGACAACAUACGGUAUUAAUCCGCCUUUCGACGGGCUGUCCCAUAGUAAAGGGCAGGUUGGAUACGCGUUACUCACCCGUACGCCGGUCGCCAUCAG